CCUACGGGUGGCAGCAGUGAGGAAUAUUGGUCAAUGGCCGGAAGGCUGAACCAGCCAUGCCGCGUGAAGGUCAGUGCCCUAUGGGCGUUAAACUUCUUUUGUGCGGGAGCAAUAAUGGUCACGUGUGGCCAGACGAGAGUACCGUACGAAUAAGCAUCGGCUAACUCCGUGCCAGCAGCCGCGGGAAUACGGGGGAUGCAAGCGUUUUCCGGAUUUAUUGGGUUUAAAGGGUGCGUAGGGUGUGAGGUAAGUCAGCGGUGAAAUGCCCCCGCUCAACGGGGUGAAGUGCCAUUGAUACUGCCUGGCUGGAAUGCGGAUGCCGUGGGAGGAAUGUGUGGUGGAGCGGCGAAAUGCAUAGAUAUCACACAGAACACCGAUUGCGAAGGCAUCUCACGAAUCCGCGAUUGACGCUGAUGCACGAAAGCGUGGGUAUCAAACAGGAUUAGAUACCCGGGUAGUC
rnacentral:rRNA from 1 species